GUCCACGCCGUAAACGAUGGGCACUAGGUGUUGGGGGGUGUCGACUCCCCCGGCGCCGUAGCUAACGCAUUAAGUGCCCCGCCUGGGGAGUACGGCCGCAAGGCUAAAACUCAAAGGAAUUGACGGGGGCCCGCACAAGCAGCGGAGCAUGUGGUUUAAUUCGACGCAACGCGAAGAACCUUACCUGGGCUUGACAUGUUCGUGACAGGUGUGGAAACACACUCUCCCUUCGGGGCACGAUCACAGGUGGUGCAUGGCUGUCGU
rnacentral:rRNA from 1 species